UACGUAGGGUGCGAGCGUUGUCCGGAAUUACUGGGCGUAAAGAGCUCGUAGGUGGUUUGUCGCGUUGUUCGUGAAAACUCACAGCUUAACUGUGGGCGUGCGGGCGAUACGGGCAGACUGGAGUACUGCAGGGGAGACUGGAAUUCCUGGUGUAGCGGUGGAAUGCGCAGAUAUCAGGAGGAACACCGGUGGCGAAGGCGGGUCUCUGGGCAGUAACUGACGCUGAGGAGCGAAAGCGUGGGGAGCGAACGGG
rnacentral:rRNA from 1 species